rnacentral:misc_RNA from 1 species
UACGGAGGGUGCAAGCGUUAAUCGGAAUUACUGGGCGUAAAGCGCGCGUAGGCGGUCGAGUAAGUCGGGUGUGAAAGCCCCGGGCUUAACCUGGGAAUUGCAUUCGAUACUGUUCGGCUAGAGUUUGGUAGAGGAAGGCGGAAUUCAGGGUGUAGCGGUGAAAUGCGUAGAUAUCCUGAGGAACACCAGUGGCGAAGGCGGCCUUCUGGACCAAAACUGACGCUGAGGUGCGAAAGCGUGGGGAGCAAACAGG